rnacentral:rRNA from 1 species
CAGCCGCCGCGGUAAUACGGAGGGAGCUAGCGUUGUUCGGAAUUACUGGGCGUAAAGCGCACGUAGGCGGCUUUGUAAGUUAGAGGUGAAAGCCUGGAGCUCAACUCCAGAAUUGCCUUUAAGACUGCAUCGCUUGAAUCCGAGAGAGGUGAGUGGAAUUCCGAGUGUAGAGGUGAAAUUCGUAGAUAUUCGGAAGAACACCAGUGGCGAAGGCGGCUCACUGGCUCGGUAUUGACGCUGAGGUGCGAAAGCGUGGGGAGCAAACAGGAUUAGAUACCCGCGUAGUCCCUGUCUCUUAUAC